rnacentral:siRNA from 1 species
CGGACUCGUCUCUGGCUUGGGAC